rnacentral:rRNA from 1 species
GACGAACGCUGGCGGCGUGCUUAACACAUGCAAGUCGAACGGAAAGGCCCUGCUUUUGUGGGGUGCUCGAGUGGCGAACGGGUGAGUAACACGUGAGUAACCUGCCCUUGACUUUGGGAUAACUUCAGGAAACUGGGGCUAAUACCGGAUAGGAGCUCCUGCUGCAUGGUGGGGGUUGGAAAGUUUCGGCGGUCGGGGAUGGACUCGCGGCUUAUCAGCUUGUUGGUGGGGUAGUGGCUUACCAAGGCUUUGACGGGUAGCCGGCCUGAGAGGGUGACCGGCGACAAUGGGACUGAGGUACGGCCCAGACUGCUACGGGGGGCAGCAGUGGGGAAUAUUGCACAGUGGGCGGAAGCCUGAUGCAGCAACGCCGCGUGCGGAAUGACGGCCUUCGGGUUGUAAACCGCUUUCGCCUGUGACGAAGCGUGAGUGACGGUAAUGAGUAAAGAAGCACCGGCUAACUACGUG